GACAUCCAGCCCAAAAGGUAGAUAAGAAUGUGGGGCUGGCUAAAUAGAGAACCGGAAGUUGAAGCUCACGUAAGGAGUGGCUGACCGUCCAGCAUAGGAAAAAGACGGAUGAAAUGACCUUGGAGCAGCACUUGAGUUGAAGGCUAGAUAACUUGUGAAGGAGAGCUGACCCCACUCACUUCUGGGCAGAAAUCCUACCCGACAGACAGGAUCCCGUGUGAGACACCAUACAGUGGUUCCUCCAAAUCUGGCUUAAUCGUAAAGCAUCUCCUACCCUGUGCCUACAGAACACUAACAUCAGCUGAGACCUUAAGGAUGCCGGUCACCUAUUUCCUACUCUGAGAUAGCUCUCGCCUACCUAACUUGGGAAGCCCUCCAGCAUACAUCAGCCUGCCAGAAUGCCUGCAAGGCAGCUAAAUCAGGAAGAAAACAAGGUUUGCAUCCGAAGGAAAGGCCACACUUACUUAAGAGGCAUGGUCGAAGAACUGCUGAAGCCUGAAGACACAGUAAACACCCGUAAACGACACUUACGGGGUGCAUCUGCCGCCGAGUCUCUACACCAGCAAUUCUCUCACACACCCUGAGAUUCUUUCUUCCAAGUGGAAGAGGAUGGGAAGCCAACUUUCAGAUUCACAAAAUAUGCCACAGAAAUAUUUGUGCCAGUGCUGGAUUUGGGAGAAAGCAUCAGUUAAAUAUAUUAAGAAAAGCUAUACAAUAAAAAGAAAACCAAUCUUUACAAGAGGAAAGGAAAUUAAUGGCUGUCAAAUCUAGCCUUGUUUUCUUAAAGGCAAAUUUACGGGGACCCAAAGAAGUGAAGUGACUUGCCUAAAGGCAGGCAGCUUCCAGGGGCUAGAACCUAAAGUUCUGAGCUGAACACCUUGAUUUGAACUGAGAUGGCCCUAAGGUUGCCCCUGAAGUGAGUGUGCGUGACAUCGGCGUGGCUGGAGUCCUGCUCUGGAGCUGGAUGGCACUCUGGUGGGAGGACGGAGCGCUGCCUUCAGAGAAACAAGAUCCUUUUGUCUAUGACACCCUGUGACACCCUCCAGACAGGCUCAAAACAUCCAGUUUGCCAAAGCAUUUGGGGAAAAUACAAGAACAGUACAAUAUGUGUAAUACAUGAUAUAUAGAUAAAUGAUAACUAAACAGAUUUGGCAAAAGAAGUGAAAUAGUUUGUGCAUCCAGAAGAAAGCGGGUAAAUUAUCACAGCAAAUGUCUGGGGAAAAACUCCUAAGUCUGCUGUGGUCAACGGGCUUUUGUAGAUCCAAUGGAUUUGGUUAUGUAUUGCAGUGGUCCUUCCUUGUGAAGACUCUCACGGCCUUGGCCUUUUGGCCUUCACCAGUGAGUGAUGCAGCUCUUUCCCUUCACCCUGGCUGCCUGAGGAGCAACAACAUCAUAACUGCCUGAAAGAGGGACCCGAGAGAAAACAAACACAAGCACCCACUCUCUGAAAUCCUCCACCCCAGGAGGCAACAGAAUCUAAGAGAAAGAUACAAGAUCACACACCCUCUACCGAUGCUGAUGCCGUAUUUGUAUCUGAAUUCAGAAUACGCCUUGGUAGCAACGAGAUAAGUGGCUUUAGCAUGUUUUGUGAUUCCUCGGAUGGCACAAAUUAAAAUUAACCCAAAUGCAAACUAGCAAGCUGUGCCAUAGUAUGGGCCAGGAAGUCAGGCAAACAGGAAAAGGAAUAUACAAACCAAAGGAAGGCACUUGGGCUGCAGAAGCCAGUGUCUAACUGGCCAAGGACAGGAGAGAUUGUCAAUGGCUUUAUUUGUAAUGAUUGAGAAAAAUUUUGUGAAAGAGUAAUAAACCACAAAACCUCUUUGAGAACCAUAUUAAAAGAAUGCACAGUCCCAGUGUGUCUCUCCUGACUUACUUCCUUUACCUUAUGCUUAGUUGGCGUCUUGGCUUUCUUUUUAUUAUAAUCUGCAUGAAAGUAUUUAUAUGAAUCUCAGGUUCAAACAAGGUUUGUUUGGUUGUCUAUGAGACAGAUUCUCAUUUUGUAGCCCAGGCUGGCCUCAAACUCAUGAAUAUCUUGCCCCAAAUUCUAGGGUCCUAGGAUUUCAGGCUUGCAAGACCAUACCUGGUUCAAAAAUAGAAUACCUCUUACAGACAGCAUAUAAUUGACAACUUACUCAGUAGUUGUUAUUUUAAUGCACAUUUUGGUCCCAUUUACUGUAACAAACGAUUUGUUACCUAGUGUGAUAUUUUGUACAUUUUCUGCUUAUUCCACUCAUCAACCUCUCCUUUCCCU